rnacentral:rRNA from 1 species
UAGGGAAUAUUGCUCAAUGGGGAACCGUAGCAGCAGCAACGCCGCGUGGAGGAUGAAGGUUUUCGGAUUGUAAACUCCUUUUCUAAGAGAAGAUUAUGACGGUAUCUUAGGAAUAAGCACCGGCUAACUCCGUGCCAGCAGCCGCGGUAAUACGGAGGGUGCAAGCGUUACUCGAAUCACUGGGCGUAAAGAGCGCGUAGGCGGGAUAGCAAGUCAGAUGUGAAAUCCUAUGGCUUAACCAUAGAACUGCAUUUGAAACUGUUAUUCUAGAGUAUGGGAGAGGUAGGUGGAAUUCUUGGUGUAGGGGUAAAUCCGUAGAGAUCAAGAGGAAUACUCAUUGCGAAGGCGACUUGCUUGGAACAUAACUGACGCUGAUGCGCGAAAGCGUGGGGGC